rnacentral:rRNA from 1 species
AACGAACGCUGGCGGCAGGCUUAACACAUGCAAGUCGAACGCAUCCUUCGGGGUGAGUGGCAGACGGGUGAGUAACGCGUGGGAACGUGCCCUUCAGUUCGGGAUAACCCAGGGAAACUUGGGCUAAUACCGGAUACGUGCGAGAGCAGAAAGAUUCAUCGCUGAAAGAUCGGCCCGCGUCUGAUUAGCUAGUUGGUGGGGUAAUGGCCCACCAAGGCGACGAUCAGUAGCUGGUCUGAGAGGAUGAUCAGCCACAUUGGGACUGAGACACGGCCCAAACUCCUACGGGAGGCAGCAGUGGGGAAUAUUGGACAAUGGGCGCAAGCCUGAUCCAGCCAUGCCGCGUGAGUGAUGAAGGCCUUAGGGUUGUAAAGCUCUUUCGUCCGGGACGAUAAUGACGGUACCGGAAGAAGAAGCCCCGGCUAACUUCGUGCCAGCCGCCGCGGUAA